rnacentral:rRNA from 1 species
UACAGAGACUGCAAGCGUUAUUCGGAUUCACUGGGCGUAAAGGGUGCGCAGGCGGUCGGGUGUGUCAGAUGUGAAAUCCCGAGGCUCAACCUCGGAACUGCGUCUGAAACUACUCGACUAGAGUACUGGAGAGGGUAACGGAAUUCACGGUGUAGCAGUGAAAUGCGUAGAUAUCGUGAGGAACACCAGAGGCGAAGGCGGUUAUCUGGACAGUUACUGACGCUCAGGCACGAAAGCAUGGGGAGCAAAAGGG